rnacentral:miRNA from 1 species
GUCUACGGCCAUACCACUCUGAACGUGCCCGAUCUGGUCUGAUCUCGGAAGCUAAGCAGGGUCGGGCCUGGUUAGUACUUGGAUGGG